rfam:Populus trichocarpa scaffold_2_contig_158, whole genome shotgun sequence.
UCUAGAACUCGACAUAUGUGCUGAACACUGAAUUAUGUCUAGGCAGCAUGACAAAUUCAGACUUCUCUUUUGUUGCUACGAUUUGAACUUGAAAAUGACAGUAUUGAAUCUUAGACUCUUCAUGAAUGUUUUAGUCAUAUGUCUUAGUGAUGCAAC